UACGUAGGGUGCGAGCGUUAAUCGGAAUUACUGGGCGUAAAGGGUGCGCAGGCGGCUUGCUAAGACAGGUGUGAAAGCCCCGAGCUUAACUUGGGAACUGCGCUCGAAACUACUUGGCUAGAGUGUGGCAGAGGGAGGUGGAAUUCCACGUGUAGCGGUGAAAUGCGUAGAGAUGUGGAGGAACACCGAUGGCGAAGGCAGCCUCCUGGGCCAACACUGACGCUCAUGCACGAAAGCGUGGGGAGCAAACAGG
rnacentral:rRNA from 1 species